rnacentral:rRNA from 1 species
CAGUAGCCACGGUAAUACGAAGGGUGCAAGCGUUAAUCGGAAUUACUGGGCGUAAAGCGUGCGCAGGCGGUUUUGUAAGACAGGCGUGAAAUCCCCGGGCUCAACCUGGGAAUGGCGCUUGUGACUGCAAAGCUAGAGUGCGGCAGAGGGGGAUGGAAUUCCGCGUGUAGCAGUGAAAUGCGUAGAUAUGCGGAGGAACACCGAUGGCGAAGGCAAUCCCCUGGGCCUGCACUGACGCUCAUGCACGAAAGCGUGGGGAGCAAACAGGAUUAGAUACCCCAGUAGUCCCUGUCUCUUAUAC